GACCAAGAAGUCUAACAUGUGUGCGAGUCAUUGGGUAUAUUGUUGAAACCUAAAGGCGUAAUUAAAAUAACUAUUUUUAUGGGAUUACAAGUCAAUUAAUUUUGAUUUCUCCAUCCCGGGGCGUUCUAUACGAACAUGGUUUAAGCAAUUGAAUCCUCUGUUCAAGAGCGUACCUUGAGCAUACAUGCUGUGACCCGAAAGAUGGUGAACUAUACCUGAUCAGAUCGAAGCCAGGAGAAAUUCUGGUGGAGGAUCGAAACAGUUCUGACGUGCAAAUCGAUUGUCAGAAUUGGGUAUAGGGGCGAAAGACCAAUCGAACCAUCUAGUAGCUGGUUCCCUCCGAAGUUUCCCUCAGGAUAGCUGGCGCAAAGAAUUAUCUUAUGUAUAAUCUUAUCUGGUAAAGCGAAUGAUUAGAGGCCUUGGGGCCGAAACGACCUCAACCUAUUCUCAAACUUUAAAUGGGUAAGAACCUCAUCUUUCUUGAUCUGAAGAUAUUGGGGUUUAGAUAUAUUGUGCCCAGUGGGCCACUUUUGGUAAGCAGAACUGGCGCUGUGGGAUGAACCAAACAUGAUGUUACGGCGCCUAAAUUAAUGACUCAUGUUGAUACCAUGAAAGGCGUUGGUUGCUUAAAACAGCAGGACGGUGGACAUGGAAGUCGUAAUCCGCUAAGGAGUGUGUAACAACUCACCUGCCGAAGCAACUAGCCCUUAAAAUGGAUGGCGCUCAAGUCAUAUGCCUAUACAUCAUCGCUAGAAUAAAAAGUGUUUACUUUAUUGUAAUCAUUGUGAAAUUCUAGUGAGUAGGAGGGUACAAUGGUGUGCGCAGAAGUGUUUGGCGUGAGCCUGCAUGAAGCCGCUAUUGGCACAGAUCUUGGUGGUAGUAGCAAAUAAUCGAAUGAGAUCUUGGAGGACUGAAGUGGAGAAGGGUUUCGUGUGAACAGUGGUUGAUCACGAGUUAGUCGGUCCUAAGCUCUAUGCGAAAGCUGUUUAAUUUAUGUUUCAUAAUAAUAAUUAUAAAAAAUUAAUUUUUUGUUGUUCAUAAUUUAAUAAGAGCGAAAGGGAAUACGGUUCCAAUUCCGUAACCUGUUGAGUAUACGUUUGUUUAUUAAAAAUGGGUCUUAUUACACUCAUCCUGGCAACAGGAACAACCAUUGAAAAGCCUUCGAGAGAUACUGGAAGAGUUUUCUUUUCUGUUGAACAAUCGUAUCACCAUGGAAGUCUUUCAUAGAGAGAUAUGGUGAAUGGAUUGGAAGAGCAUGACAUUUACUGUUGUGUCAGUAUUAUCUCUUUGGACCUUGAAAAUCAAUGGUGGGGCCACGCAAAUUUCUCAACAGACCGUACCGAUAUCCGCAG
rnacentral:rRNA from 1 species